AAGAGCCCAUAUCACUUCAGCUUCAACAUCAACCAUGUUCUCUGCAGCUCUGAUGCUGCUGCUGGCAGCUGGAUCCUGUGUGUACAGUAUUGAUCUCAUCCAGUCAGAUUCAAUGGCUGUGCAGCCUGGACAGUCUUUGACCAUCACCUGUCAGGUCUCUGGUUAUUCUCUGACUGAUAGCAGCUAUGCAACAGCUUGGAUCAGACAGCCUGCAGGGAAAGGACUGGAGUGGAUUGGAAGUAGAUAUACUGGAGGCUCUGCCUACAAAGAUUCACUAAAGAACAAAUUCAGUAUCGACUUAGACUCUUCCAGCAACACAGUGACUCUAAACGGACAGAAUGUGCAGCCUGAAGACACUGCUGUGUAUUACUGUGCCAGAGACCCACAAUAACACAAACCAUCAGCAGACCUGAACAAAAACCCCUCAGUGCCUGAACACUUGUAACAUGAAGCCACCAGAGGAGGAGCCCUCAGACCACUAAUGAUUUCAACACCAGU